GAUUGGUAAAUCUUUCUUUCCUUGUUCCUUGUACGUUUAAAAAGAAAAAACCAUUUAUAACAUUGGUGUUUCUUUUCUUUGUUUGUUUGUAGAGCACAAGAGCUAGACAAUGUGUCCGUGCUGCAUAUGAGGCAGAGAAGAAACGAGUUGAGAACCAGACUAAGAUAUACAACAAACAAGCUAAGAUAGAAAAGGAACUAACAUGGAUAGAGAUAGAGUACAAGCCAAAGUGUCGAACUCAUAAGAACGGGUACUAUGAUUCCUUCAAGGCUUCUAUGGAUGAGAUUGACUUCAACGCAAACGUCAAGAGAGCUGAGUUAGCUGGUAUAUAUGAUGAGGUGCUUGGUUU
rnacentral:lncRNA from 1 species